rnacentral:rRNA from 1 species
AGCGAACGCUGGCGGCAGGCCUAACACAUGCAAGUCGAACGGACCCUUCGGGGUUAGUGGCGGACGGGUGAGUAACACGUGGGAACGUGCCCUUUGGUUCGGAACAACUCAGGGAAACUUGAGCUAAUACCGAAUGUGCCCUUCGGGGGAAAGAUUUAUCGCCAUUGGAGCGGCCCGCGUCUGAUUAGCUAGUUGGUGGGGUAAUGGCCCACCAAGGCGACGAUCAGUAGCUGGUCUGAGAGGAUGAUCAGCCACAUUGGGACUGAGACACGGCCCAAACUCCUACGGGAGGCAGCAGUGGGGAAUCUUGCGCAAUGGGCGAAAGCCUGACGCAGCCAUGCCGCGUGAAUGAUGAAGGUCUUAGGAUUGUAAAAUUCUUUCACCGGGGACGAUAAUAACGGUACCCGGAGAAGAAGCCCCGGCUAACUUCGUGCCAGCCGCCGCCGUAAGAC